rnacentral:tRNA from 1 species
GGGCGAGUGGCUUAGCUUGGAUAGAGCACCGGAUUCCUAAUCCGGCGGCCGCGGGUUCGAAUCCCGCCUCGCCCG